rnacentral:misc_RNA from 1 species
GAAGAUUCAUCAUCUAGGGACUUACUCUCUUUAAUUACUAGUAACGGAGCAGCUGGCUCGAGGGGCAUUUCUUUUAGCAACAAAGGAAUACCCUCUGGAAACAGGGAUCAUGUGGCAGAAAACCUCAAGUUCUCUGCAACUCCUUCAAUAGUAGGGAUCCCUGAGCAAUAUUGUGCUACCGAAAAGCUAAGUUCAAACUCCGGUGUCCUUACCUGCGAGGACCUCGAGCAAUCAAUAUU